GUGUUGUAACACAAAAAAGUCGAAUUUUUUCUAUGAAUAUAAAUUUUGUUAGUUAUAUGCUGAAUAGAGUAAAAGUGCAAUAACUCACUUUAUUUUCCUACACUCUUUUUUAUCAAAAACGUGUCGUUUCUCGCUCCUCUUUUUGCGUAAGUGAUUCGUGACGUGUGAAAUCAGUGCAAAUAGUCGCCUACGCGCUAUAUACCUAUCUCUCUGAUGUUAUGCCGGCACACUGAUUAUAGGCACCGGAUUUAUAUUUUUAUUUUCUUCUGCACUGAAUGUAAUUAUAAAUAUUGUUAGGGAUUUUGCAGGGAAAAUAUAUGUUGAAUUGCAAGAACGUGGAAGAUAUGAAGAAAUAAUCCUACCCGCAGGACCCUGUUGUCGAGUUUUGUAGGAACCCAUUAUUCGAGAUCCUUUUAUCGGUGAUGUUUAUUGUAUGCCAAUCUGGUAAAAUGCUUCCUCCGCGGCGUGCAUCCUGUUGAUAUGAGGGUCCAGUCGGUUCGCAAGCUUCAAAACCUUGGCUGGAAGUUGAAGGCCACAUUCGUUCGAGUAAGGCCACUUUACACUGGACAGAUUCUUCUCAAUACAAUACAAGAUAAUUCAAAUUCAUUCUUUCACGGCAUCGGCACAUUCACACUCUCCCCCUCUAACAAUGACACAUAGUCAACUUUCUCAAUGGACCAUCUGAUGUAAUCCGGCCUCGCAUACCAGACGUUCUCAAUGAACUAAGAAAGAGAGAGUGGGGGAACUCAGUUCGGAGAGAAAGAAAGAGGGAGAAAGAAAGCGAGAGUAUUAAUGAACCAGCGGUCUUUAUAAUGCUUCGGGGAUUAUGGUUCUACAUUAGUGAUGAGCGUGUUGCGGAAACUGACGCUUAACUGGGAUCUUUGAAAAAAGACAUAUUUAAAAACCGAGGAUCAAUUUUGACCGGGCUGGACCGGGCCCUGGCCAGAACCUCGUCUGGAGCCGCAGACAUGGUCGGGGCCUCAUAGGGCCCAAGUCGGGUUGAUUUGGCUCCGAAUUUUCUGCACGGAAUGAUCGUUGGGCAGAAUAAACAGCACCUACACCGCAUGAAUGGAACGACUUCCAAGAACAGUACAGUCUGGCAAAAAAAUAUAUUUCACACAUAUGAUGUAAAUAUUAUUAUAUUAUUAGAAUAACAAAAAAAAUCUUUAUUUAUCCAUUGAAAAACGAUAUCUUAAUUCAAGGCUUUCGUUUAAGAUUAUUAUAAAUAUAUAGGUAUUUUAUUAUUC